rnacentral:rRNA from 1 species
ACGCCUACGGGGGGCAGCAGUGGGGAAUAUUGGGCAAUGGGCGCAAGCCUGACCCAGCAACGCCGCGUGAAGGAAGAAGGCCCUCGGGUUGUAAACUUCUUUUAUCAAGGACGAAACAAAUGACGGUACUUGAUGAAUAAGCCACGGCUAACUACGUGCCAGCAGCCGCGGUAAUACGGAGGAUGCGAGCGUUAUCCGGAUUUAUUGGGUUUAAAGGGUGCGUAGGCGGUCCGUUAAGUCAGCGGUAAAAUUGCGGGGCUCAACCCCGUCGAGCCGUUGAAACUGGCAGACUUGAGUUGGCGAGA